rnacentral:RNase_P_RNA from 2 species
AAUAUAAGGUGAUCAAGGUUUGAUAUUAUUAUAAAUAAUGUCAGGUUUAGGAAAGUCCAUGUUAGCACAUGUUUCAGGAAUAACAUGUAGUGUUUGUGCUUAAGAAAACAAUAACUUAAGGUACUUAAAUAAAUUUAAGUAACGGCUUUUUUUAUAUUCUAAAGACUUAUUUUUUAUUUUAAGUUUAUGAAAAUAAAAAAAUAAAGUGCCACAGAGACGAGUUAAUUAGAAAUAAUUAAGUGAAACGCGGUAAACCCCUCAAGCUAAUAAUCCAAAAAAGGUAGGAGCACAUAGAAUAAACUUUUUCCUGUUUUAUUUAAAGUUAUUUUUAUGCUAUUUAAUUAAAAUUUAAAUAGAGAUAAAUGAUCACAUCUUAUUUUAAAAAAAAUUUAAUUUAGUUAUUUUGAUAAAAUAAGAACAGAACAUGGCUUAUUCAU